rnacentral:snRNA from 1 species
GGAUGUGAGGGCGACCUGGCUGCGACAUCUGUCACCCCAUUGAUCACCAGGGUUGAUUCGGCUGAUCUGCUGGGUAGGUGGGUGUCCCCUUCCUCUCUCACUGCUCCAUCCCUCCCGAAGCUGUGCACUUGGUCUAAGAGGAUGACUAUCCCAGAUAGUGGAGGACCGUUCUUCGGUCAAGGGUGUAUGAGUAGCUGUGCUCCCCUGCAAGAACCUCCAAAUAAACUCUCAAGAAUGUAGUGGUUAGUAAAAUAAAGCAUUUCUGUAAGAGGGUAAUCCUAUGGUAUAUAUAGUUUA